rnacentral:rRNA from 1 species
GACGAACCGUCCUAACGUUGUUCGGAAUCACUGGGCUUAAAGGGAGCGUAGGUGGGCUGGUAAGUCAGUGGUGAAAUCUCCGGGCUUAAACUCGGAACUGCCGUUGAUACUAUCAGUCUUGAAUAUUGUGGAGGUAAGCGGAAUAUGUCAUGUAGCGGUGAAAUGCUUAGAUAUGACAUAGAACACCGAUAGCGAAGGCAGCUUGCUACACAAUUAUUGACACUGAGGCUCGAAAGCGUGGGGAUCAAACAGG